rnacentral:rRNA from 1 species
UACGGGGGGAGCAAGCGUUGUUCGGAUUUACUGGGCGUAAAGGGCGCGUAGGCGGUCAGCACAAGUCAGUUGUGAAAUCUCCGGGCUUAACUCGGAAAGGUCAACUGAUACUGUGCGACUAGAGUGCGGAAGGGGCAACUGGAAUUCUCGGUGUAGCGGUGAAAUGCGUAGAUAUCAGGAAGAACACCCGUGGCGAAGGCGGCUCUCUGGGACGGUACUGACGCUGAGACGCGAAAGCGUGGGAGCGAACAGG